AACGUAGGUGGCGAGCGUUAUCCGGAUUUACUGGGCGUAAAGCGCGCGCAGGCGGCGAUCUACGUCUGGGGUGAAAGCCCGGAGCUCAACUCCGGGACUGCCUUGGAUACGGGAUCGCUUGAGGAUUGGAGAGGCAAGGGGAAUUCCACGUGUAGCGGUGAAAUGCGUAGAUAUGUGGAGGAACACCUGUGGCGAAGGCGCCUUGCUGGCCAAUUUCUGACGCUGAGGCGCGAAAGCGUGGGGAGCAAACAGG
rnacentral:rRNA from 1 species